rnacentral:lncRNA from 1 species
CAAAGAACCGUCUGCUCAGCUAAUGUGUUUCUUCCACAAGGUUUAGAAUAAAUGGAAAAACUGGAAUGCUCCUGACCCUGAACUAAUUUUUCUUAAGUGAUCCUUGAAACCAAGAUCUGUGGUAAGGUGGGAGUUGAAAUGGAAUACUUCAGCAAAUGGCACAAGAAAAGAUAGAGUACAAACUCCUUGGGAACAGAGUGUUUUUUAUGCUGCUAUGUGCCUAGUGCCUAGAGUAGUACCUGGCAUAGAGUAGGACUCACUACAUAUUUGACGAGUGGAUGAAUGACUGUCUCCUGUACCUUAUUUCUGGAGCCACAACCUGCCCUUGUUAUAACAGAUGAAGGAAAAGGUGGGAGAAACCAAUCAUCUGGAAGACCCUCUGAGAUGCCUUGGAGUCACACACCAUUGUUCUUAUUGACAGAUCAGUCCUGAGUCUCCAAUAAAGGUAGUUACUGCUCCUGUCUCUAUUGCUCUGAUGAGGACACUGGUUCAGAGAGGUUGUGCUUCUUGAAUCCAUAGAGGAGACACAACCAUCUAUAAACAACAAUAUUUUGAGCCUUGGCAGAGAAGGAUGAUAAAAAAUGAAGAUUCUGAGGAGCAGAAAUUUCUUACAUCAAGUUACCACAGUGGCGACCACAUGUUCUGAUCCUCUUCAAGGCAUGUUUAUUGGAAGAUUUUGUUUUUCUGUAAAGGUACAUUUUCAUUGCCUACUUGAGGAGACUUAAAAAUCCAUAACUGAGUGUAGGAACUACUCAUGUAGGAAGCCACUUGCAUAGAUAUGUGUUAGUUAUGUUAUUGAUGGACAACCUGCUGAUUUCUGGAGCUGUGUCUCCACUUGGUGGGAGGUACUGGAAUUACAAUACAUUCACAAGUUUCAUUUGGGUAGAAUAAUUGGCUUUAAAAUCAUUCAGCUGCUUGUAGGAAGCAAGGAGGCAACACCAUCAACAGCCAGGAUGCAGUUACCUGAAUCCUUAUUGCAGUUGCCUUAUUGCAGUGAAUUACUUAAGAUAUAUUGAUUUCUUCCCCAUAGAACUAUAUUGUUUUCCUGCAUAUACCAUUAUGAGC